rnacentral:rRNA from 1 species
AGCGAACGCUGGCGGCAGGCCUAACACAUGCAAGUCGAACGAACCUUUCGGGGUUAGUGGCGGACGGGUGAGUAACACGUGGGAACGUGCCUUUAGGUUCGGAAUAACUCAGGGAAACUUGUGCUAAAACCGAAUGUGCCCUUCGGGGGAAAGAUUUAUCGCCUUUAGAGCGGCCCGCGUCUGAUUAGCUAGUUGGUUGAGGUAAUAGCUCACCAAGGCGACGAUCAGUAGCUGGUCUGAGAGGAUGAUCAGCCACAUUGGGACUGAGACACGGCCCAAACUCCUACGGGAGGCAGCAGUGGGGAAUCUUGCGCAAUGGGCGAAAGCCUGACGCAGCCAUGCCGCGUGAAUGAUGUAGGUCUUAGGAUUGUAAAAUUCUUUCACCGGGGACGAUAAUGACGGUACCCGGAGAAGAAGCCCCGGCUAACUUCGUG